GACGAACGCUGUCGGCGUGCCUCAUACAUGCAAGUAGGACGCAGUUGCGAACGGGUGAGUAACGCGUCGGUCACUGCCUAUUAGAGGGGGAUAACUAUUGGACACGAUAGCUAAUACCGCAUACUAGUAGAUGGACCUGCGUUGUAUUAGCUAGUAGGUAGGGUAAUGGCCUACCUAGGCGACGAUACAUAGCCGACCUGAGAGGGGGAUCGGACACACGGGGACGUAGACACGGCCCAGACUCCGACGGGAGUCAGCAGGAGGGAAUCUGCGGCAAUGGGGGGAACCCUGACCGAGCAACGCCGCGUGAGUGAAGAAGGUUUUCGGAUCGUAAAGCUCUGUUGUUAAGGAAGCGGUACUUAACCAGAAAGGGACGGCUAACUACGUGCCAGCCGCCGCGAUAAUAC
rnacentral:rRNA from 1 species